GGCCUCCAAUGAUUAUUAAACUAAUGGACUCAUUAUCACUCACUUAAUGAGAGGCUAUGAUUUAGUUAUCAAUAUAACUUAAUCAUUUUUAGGGACCUAAUAAUUUUUGAGGAUUUUAUUAAAGAAUCGAAGAGAAGAAAAUAUCCAGCCAAUUUCAAUCCUCCCACUAACUUCACCAAGUCAGAUUAAAAAGGAUUUAAUUAAAGCCAACAUUAGGAGCACCUAAAUCAGUCACACUGAUUUACCUAAUGACAUGAGUGAGCCCUAAUCACCAAGUGAUCUAAUCAAAACCUAAUUCACCAGGUUGGCCAGGUAAGUGAGAUCAGUGGUGGGAUAAGCCAUUAACUCGUCAGAGAUCGAAUCACUGCGAGUAGCUCCCGCUUAAAAAUCACUGGUCAAACUGUCAAACUUACCUUAGACACCAACCGGUUCAUUAGUUUUAAUUUGAUCAAUUUAGUAAAUAGGGUUCCACCGCAUAGCCAUGAAUUAAGUCCAUCUUGGUCUAGUUAAAGACAUGGACCCAUUCAACUACAACUAUUGGAGUUGAGUCUAGAGUAUCCUUGACCUAAUCUAAUUCAACUUUUGAUUAGAUUUGACCAAUUAUUCUAAUUUAUUCUAUUUCUUUAAGCUAACCUUAGGUC
rnacentral:lncRNA from 1 species